rnacentral:lncRNA from 1 species
UGAUUGGAGUGGACUUUCUUGGUACCAAUUAACUAGGAUAAAACAGGCCAUGAGACAGAAAAUGAAAGUAUGGAUGGUAGGCUCUAGUUGUUAUUCCGUGACAUCUUAUCUACUUAAGCAGCUAACCCAUGAGGCAUCCAAAACAGAGAGAAAAAACAGAGUGAACAUUUUGCCUUAUGGAAUUGUCAAAAGUUGCGGUCGAAACACAGGCAAGAUUUGGAAGAAUCUGUAAUGAGCCAGGGCCAGUUUUCCUAGUUAUAGAGCCUAGGCUGGAGGAGGUACAUGGGCUGGGGAAGGAGAGGGAAUUAGAGAUUGGCUGUUCCUGGAAACUCUCUGCCUGUACUCCAUGGCCUGAGUCCCAGGACCUGGAAGCGGCUGAAAAUCUGAGAUAUAGAAGAGACUGGUGCUGCCUUUCUGGGGAGGGCUUGGGAAAACAGCAAGUUCCCUGAAUUUUUCCAUGGCACAGGAGCAGAUGAAAUGUCAUGAUUGGUGUCCAGGCUAGUGGACUGAGUUAACUCCCGAGAGUCCCUGUACUCUCCAGCAUGGCACGAGGAGAAGCAAACCAUUUUCCUAUGCAGCCAUAGGAAAACGGUACAAACACGACACUGAAAUUCAGCUGACCGCAAGAGCUUGAUGGUCAGUGUGAGCCAGAUGGAGCAGGAACAUGUAUGGAUGGAAAACCCAGAUCCAAAGUUCAUCCCCCUCUCCCGUGGAUGCUCCAGCACAUUGCAAGGUUUCCCAGAAACUUAGAGGCAACCUUGGCACAAGGACAUGAUUUGUUGGAAAUUAAGUUUUGUCACCUGGGGGACUGCGAGCUUGAUACGGAAAUUAAUUCAGUUAUAUAAUUAUAAAAAUGAUGCACUUUCUACACAUCUGAUUUUGUGAACCCAAAUUAGUUUCCACAACGCAACUGUGUUAACAUUUGCCAACCUCUGGGGCAACAUUGGUUGUCUUUGUUGCUUUUUUCUAGAAGUUUUCAGCUCAAACUCAUCUUUCCCUUUUUUAUUUUCAUUUCUAAAUUCUGGUGAGUGGUGUUUUGAUAAGUAGAUAUCAGCUAUUUCCUGUCUUACUUGAAAAGUCUUCUCUGUAUUAAAUAACAAAGGUCACUUAGAUAAAUAUCUUCUCAUUACCAGAGGGUAGGGAACUGCUUCUCCUAUACAUAACUUCUAUUAUCUUUCAAUCCAGAAAAAAAAACGUGGCAGGAGGACAAGUUUUUGAAUGUUAUGAAUCGUGAUUUCUGUGUCUAAAAUCUGCUCUUUUGUUAACACUAAGGGCAACUUCCUUCAAAGUGGUUCAUCUUGGUCUAUUACUGUGUUUGUGUGUGUGUGUGUGUGUGUGUGUGUGUGUGUGUGUGU